AAGUCGUAACAAGGUUUCCGUAGGUGGACCUGCGGAAGGAUCAUUACAUUUAGUAGCCUAGCUGCUAUCAGUGGGGUUCGUUAGCCUGCAUAGCUUAAUCGCUGAUGAGCAGCAGACCCCUGUUUGUACCCUUCGUUUUUUGCGUCAUCCAAAUUGUUUCCUCGGCCAGGGUCCUUUGCGUUCGCCGGCAGUGGACGAAUAACUAUAACCUUUUUAAUAUUCAAUCAGCGUCUGAAAAACUUGAAUAAUUACAA
rnacentral:misc_RNA from 1 species